rnacentral:rRNA from 1 species
AGAACGAACGCUGGCGGCAGGCUUAACACAUGCAAGUCGAGCGCCCCGCAAGGGGAGCGGCAGACGGGUGAGUAACGCGUGGGAACAUACCCUCCGGUUCGGAAUAGCCCAGGGAAACUUGGAUUAAUACCGGAUACGGCCUAGCGGCGAAAGAUUCAUCGCCGGAGGAUUGGCCCGCGUUCGAUUAGCUAGUUGGUGAGGUAACGGCUCACCAAGGCGACGAUCGAUAGCUGGUCUGAGAGGAUGAUCAGCCACAUUGGGACUGAGACACGGCCCAAACUCCUACGGGAGGCAGCAGUGGGGAAUAUUGGACAAUGGGCGCAAGCCUGAUCCAGCCAUGCCGCGUGAGUGAUGACGGCCUUAGGGUUGUAAAGCUCUUUCGCUAGGGACGAUAAUGACGGUACCGCAAGAAUAAGCCCCGGCUAACUUCGUGCCAGCAGCCGC